GGUGGCGCUCGGGCCUGGGCUGCAGGGCCCGGGGCGGGGAGCACGGCCCGUUUCCGCAGCGUCACUGGGCCCAUGGAGGGGCAGCUGCGGCGCUGGGACCGGGCCGAGGCGGAGCUGCCGGUGUGGGGAGCUGCCGUGGCGAUGGGACAAAUCGCGUCCAUGGCCGAGGGUCACUGGGGAAGGGGGUGGCGGAGCUGCUUGCGCCUCAGCAGCAUUCAACCCCGCCAAGCGGCUGGAGGGGUCGGUCUCCUUUGCCCAAGUCCGGCUCUGAAGGGAAGUCUGCGCUGAAUUUGAUUUAAAAAAAAAAACUAAAAAGCGAGACAGUCUGUUAUGUUUUCCUUUUGAAUCCUGAAGUUUCUUGGUUUCUUUCCAGUGCGAGCACUAGAACAGAUUGCCCAGAGAGGUUGUGGAGUCUCCCUUGCUGGAGAUACUCAAGAAUCGUCUGGACACAAUCCUGUGCCAUGUGCUCUAGGACGACCCUGCUUGAGCAGGGAGGUUGGACCAGAUUACCCACUGUGGUCCAUUCCAACCUGACGCGUUCUGUGAUUCUUCAGCGAGAGUGAAGCUUUGUGACCUUUGCAGCCUGUGUGUGUGUGUGCAGCUCUCUGUGUUUUCCUCUGGGCAAAGCCAGGGUGAAUCCUUCAUUGAGAACAUUUUAGAUAAACACAGGGCAAGACCAAGGGGAUGUGGAACAGUUGGGUCCCAGGUACUUUCUUUGUCACCAGCAGUGUCUCUCUGAAAUCUAAAAGCAUUACAAACAGCAAUUUUUGACUCAUUUCUAAAGCAAGCUCUUGAAUAAUGAGCAUGGGCUCUUCAAUAUCUGUUGCUUGUAGUAAUGCAGGGAGCUUAGGCCUGAUGGCUGCCUGGGAGCUUCCUUCUGGGGGACACCAUUCGUCAUUGUAACAGUUAGUAUUUCACAAAGGUUCUGGUCUCUACAAUAAUAAUUUUCCCACAUUUUGUUUGCUGUAAAUCAUGUACUGUGUUGGUUGCCUACCUGUAAUGCACCAUGGUUCUGUUCCCUGUUCAUAAACACAGGGAGGUAGAAAACAUCCUUGAGUUUUGUCAUGCUGUGGUUUUCAAACUUGGGAAUCUUGAAAAAAAAUAUGAAGAAUCCAAAGAAGAAUAAAUUUUUACUACGCUUUGACACUCAGUCUGCUCAGCAUUGCCAGCCAAAUACUGCGAGAUUGCUCCUGGGUUUGGAAAUGAACCUUACACAUGGUUACAGAAUUGAAAACUCUUUCAGAUCUGCUGGGUACAAGAAUUGGGAACUAUACACGUGCCUGGAUCUCAGCUAGCAGUGCAACAACAGACCAACAGGGACAUGAUAAUCACAAAAUUUUAUUAGCAGCUCCCAAGCCCUUUAUACUUUCCAGCUCACACAGGAGCUUGUAUGAAAAUUAUGGAGGUACUUCCAGACACCUAGUAACCUACAGACAAUCUACUAAUCACAAAGCAACACCAGAGAGGAGCCCUGAGGCUGCUGAAGAGUUUCUUCAGGAGAAGAAGAAACUACAGGAGAGUUUCCAUCAGCUGAAUGGAUGACAUUUGGAGCCUUCCUUUGUAAACCAGUUCCUCAAAAUUAUUAACUCGGCUCCUGAUCCCAAGACAUUAUCAAACACUUGGACACGAGAGACUGCAGUUUUCUAGAUAAUGACUAGGGGUUAAAACCAGGCUCACCAGUGAUGAGCAAUGGGAUGGUGUGCCAGAACUUGAAGAAACAGCACUCAUGGGAUCCCUGAGUCUGCCUCUAGAGAUGUUGACUACAAUGUACCACUCCUGAAAUGUUUCUACACCAAUGCAUGCAGCAUGAGGAACAAACAAUAGGAUCUCAAAGCUUUGGCCCAGUCCCAGAGAUUUCAGAUCAUUGGCAUAAGUGAAACCUGGUGGGAUGAGACCUAUGACUGGAAUGCCCUGUUGGAUGGUUACAGGCUCUUCAGGAGAGAUAGGUAGGGCAGAAGAGGCAGAGGAGUGGCACUGUAUGUAAUAGAAGGGUUAGAAUGUAUGUAGCUCACAGUUGGCAAUGGCACUGUUGAGAGCCCCUGGGUAAGAAUCAAGAGGCAAACAAAUAAUGUGGAUGUCAGUGUGGGAGUCUGCUAUAGACCUCCUGGACAGGAUGAUGAUGCCAAUGAAUUAUUCUUUGAGGAACUAAGGGACACUUCCAAGUCAACUGCCCUUGUCUUUACGGGGGACUUAACUUGACAGAAAUUAACUGGCAGCAUCAUGCAGUUGGUUCAAGCCAGCCAGAAGAUUCCUAAAAAAUCUGGAUGACAACUUUAUGGAACAGGCCCUAAGGGAGUCAACUUGUAACGAUGUCCUCCUUGAUCUGCUGCUUGUCAACAGAGUGGAUCUCAUGAGCAAAGUAGAGAUUGGUGGCCCUCUUGGCCACAGCACCACAAAAGGAUCAAGUUUUAAAUCUGUGUUGGCAGGAGGAAAAGUGCCAGCAAAACCUCAAUGCUGGACAUGAGGAGAGCAGGCUUCAGGCUGCUCAGGGAAUUAGUGAGUAAGGU